GGUUUCCCGCCUUCAGAGAAGCCAGAGCCCACGCCUGCCACACGCCACCGGGGUCGAGGCCGCUCUUUGUCGACACCUAGAAACGCAGCCAAACAACCAGAGGCCUCAUAACGGCUGGUAGUAUUCCGCCUCCAGCAGCUGAUUGCGCAGACGUGUGACGGCGGUCGUCUCCAGGAUGUCAUCCAGAGAAGGAAUGUAUUUGUAAUUGGCCGUCACCAAAAUCUUCAGCACGUCUACUUUGCUGAUGUAACUGUGGAGAUGAAGAAUAAAGAAGCAAAACGUUAAAACAGACAUUCAUAGACACAGUGAUGGGUGAAAUGACGAUACAGCUUCGGGGAAAAAACACUGAUCUGGUUCACAAGGUGGAAUUUAUUGUGAUAUUUCUGUAAUCUACACAGAAUCAAGCUCCUCUG